UCAAAACCACAGCAAGGCUGCCCAAAGCGAUGUCUUCAACAGGAGGGAGGUGUUGGUCCAGAAACAGUAAAGCUAAUUUUUGUUGAGGGCUUGUUAAUGAGACAACAUGCUGAGCAUCAUCUUGUAUCAUCUUCACCUUAACCACAGAAGACACUAACAUCACUGUCUCCUUUCUGCAGGUGAGGAGCUCAAAGCAUAAAGAGAGGAAGUCACUUGUUUCAGCUCUCAGGGUCCAGGAGCCUGUCUGACUCCAGAGGGGACUCAUGCCUGGGCUUCCUGUCUCCAGGGAAUCUGGACAGAGCGGUGGAAAUUUCAGGUGGCACUUGGGCCAGGGAGGAUCUCCACGCCUUUCCUCACACCGAGCUGUCUGGCCCUUGGGGAGUUAACUUCACAGAUAGGUAGGUUACUUCAAAUUCCACUGUACCCCUGCGUCUCAACCCAGCACCCCCACACUCCAUGCCUUUCCUGGCCCUGGGCAAAUAUCCAAGCCUUCCCGUCUUUCUUCCUGUUGGUUUGGUGGAGGAGGCCGGUGGCUAGUCUAGCUCUUUCUCUUAUCAUCCCUAUGGGAAAACUGAAACAAAAACAAAAACAAAACAACCCCCCCCUCCCCAGAUCAUUUUUCUGAUAAGCACUUUACAUUUCUAUAGUGCAGGAAAAGAGAAGUUCCUUCAGAAUCCCUUUAUAGAUGAUCGCUCUCAUUGUCUAACAAGCUUUUCAUUGUUUGUGGUUCCCAUUUCCCUGAACAGUUCAGGGCACUUUGGAAAAAAAUUUCUAUUCAGCACUUUUCCACUCAUAAUUCAAGAAAAAAGAGUCAUGCAGUAUAAUAAGGAUAAUUAGCUCCAACGGAAAAUUAUAAGCUUGGCACGGCAGAGCCCCUCCACUGUGCACAGUAUCCAUUUAUCGUUCUGUGUACUCUGUAUCAAGGCUAAUCGCUACUUCUGUAAUUACUAACCUGUUGAAAGAACAAAGGAAAAAUGCAAUGCAGUACUUAAAUAAAUAACGCUGUUUCUUCCAAUACCAUCUCAAUAAAACUCUUUUAGAACAGAAGCUGUCUUCACCAUCUUCCAGUUAAAAACUGCUGUUGUCUGUCCUCAAAAGUAUGAUCAGCUAUUCUAAGAGUGAUUUUCAGCGAGCAUGUAUGGAAGUGGGGCUUGCAUUUCUUUCAUUUAGAUUCUUGUAA
rnacentral:lncRNA from 1 species